GUGCUGUCGUAAGAGCCUGCAGUGAAGGAGCUGGCCUUGAUGAAGCAGCAGAACGUGAAAUGCCAAAACAGAUGGAGUUGCUUGGAUACAAGGAGAAUCUUACAGAAUACAAAUGAACUUGAAGGCAUUAGUAAUAUUUUCAAAAUAAUAGAGAAAUGACACAAAGAGUGAAAGAGGUGAAAUCUGUCUUUGAUGGGAAUAAUAUCUAAAAGGAGUAUUGUACAUAUCUGCUGGCAGCUUUAAAAAAAUUAAUGAUUACUGAAAUUCAGAAAUGUCAACAGUAUGAAAUGAGCAAAAUUACUUCCCUAACAAGAUUUUAUAAGAGAUAAAGUAGUGGGAUAUUUCCUUGAAAUAAUGUUCAUCAUCAAUGCUGAAGUUUACAGAGGACAAAAAUAUGAAAUCAUGUGUUCAUAGACAGCCCCAGGACACACACAGUGGAUGCAUUGUGUUCUCCUGGGUUGCAUAACUACUUUGAAAGAAGUUUUCUUUUCUGUGUCAUAAAAGAAGACUUUUUGGCUCUGCCAGGAUACUCUACCAUUUGGCCCCAUAGACUUCAAGCAUGCCUGAAGAUACGUGCCAAUGGCUUGUUGGUUUUUGAAGAUCAUUCUGAUCUCUGCUGAGUUACCCAACUGGACUCAGAAGGGUCUGACCCACGUGCCACAUUCCAGCUGUUUGCUUGUUUGUUUUUAAUCUCAACCUAGUUUAAUGGGAAGAAGGUGAGUCACCUUGUGUGUAUGUCAGCUGAUAUUUAUGUCAUGGAAACUUAAAGGGGAUAGACUUGAAAUUGAAAAGAUAAGAUUGUGAUUGAAUGGGCCUUGUAUAAACUAUGUUUUGUUUUUGUUCUCUUGCUUACUUACCUUGUAAACAGAUUCCUUGAGUCUUAAACCAAGGAUCUUAAUCUUUGGUAUUUACAGAGCCUUUCUUCCAUGAAGCAGAGUUAUUUAGGAUGCUGCCAGCAAAUGAGCUCUCAACUGGAUCUGUCGUCAUCAUCAUAGAACUUACUAUGGUCUGGUAGUAUUCAAAGUGCUUACUUAAAUUAAUUUCUGGAAACAACCUCACACAUUUGACUCUAUGUAUUUUUCCACCUCAUGAUGAGGAAACAGACACAAAAAGGCCAAAUGAUUUUUUCAAGGACAUUCAGCUAGGAAAGGGCAAAGACAGGCACAGAUGAAGAAAUAAUCACAGGCACAAACGAGGUAUCUGUUAAUAGAGAUCCUAGGAAUCUGUGACUGUCAAUAUGAAUUACAAAUAUGAAAAUUAUUUGUUGAAUCAACAAAGUGGAAAUAAAACUAUUUUUUCUUAGCUGAUUUGGUAAUGACUAACAGUCAACAUACCUAUUAAGUGGUUUUGGUUGAAAUAAUUUAAUUUGUUGUCAAUACUAGUUCCCCCCUUUAAAUUUAAUGAUACAGUUCCAAUAUCUAGAUGAACAAAUAAAGAUAGGAGAAAGAAUUCUAUAUUUUAGUCAUUUCUGCUUAUGGCCUCAAUUUCAGAUUCCAGAAAUCCAUAGCUAAGUAGUUAUAAAGCAAUUACAGUUGUUAGAGUAGCCCAGGAUGGCUGGACAAAGUUGAAUAUUUCAUGACUAAAAACAACAACAGCCAGGCACAGUGGUUCACACCUAUAAUCAUAGCACUUUGGGUGGCUGGCUUAAGCCUGGAGUUCGAGACCAGCCUGGCAGUAAACUGAGACCUUGUCUCUAUAAAAGAUACAAAAAUUAGUUGGUGUGGUGGUGUCUGCUUGUAGUCCCAGCUACUUUGGAGGCUGAGAUGGGAGAAUCACCUGAGCCCAGGAGGUUGAGGUUGCAGUGAGCUGAAAUCGUGCCACUGCAUUCCGUCGCUGCACUCCAGCAGCCUGGGUGACAGAGCGAGACCCUAUCUCAAAACAAAACAAAGCAACCAAAUCAAUUCUCACUAAAAAUAAACAUACCUAAGACAUCAUCGUAUAUUUUAAAUUCUUUCUAAUUAAAGCAAUGUUACUAAAUAUAUUUUAAAGAGGCUUGUUAUAAAUGAAAUACUUAC
ensembl:lncRNA novel transcript